UGUUCAAAUCACUAGAGAUUAAAAGAGUGCCCUCCAAAAUAUGUGAAACUUGAAGGAAUUAGGUUAGAAAAUAUCUUUUAAAAAAUAGAAGUGACACCUCCACUCUGUGGAGACCUACAUGGAACAAGAGAACUGAAGAACUACCUAGUUGGUCCUGCUCAUUCUCAUCUACAAGUUCUCAGCACAAACAGCAUUGCUUUAGAGGUUCUCCAGAAAAAUAAAAUCCAUAAGAAAAUUAACGGAAACACAGAGAUAAAGACAGAGAGAUAUAAUUUAUCAAAAAGAAUUGGCUCACAUGAUUAUGGAGGCUUGGAAGCUUUGAUGUCUUAAGAUCUGCAGUUGGCAAGCUGGAGACCUAGGAGCACUGAUACGUAGCUCCUGAUUCCUGUCCAAGUCUGAAGGCCUGAGAAUUAGGAAAGCUGAUGGCAUAAAUCCCAAUCUGUGUAUGACUCUGAGGACAGAAUAUUAAUACCCCGGCUGAAGACAGUCAGGAAGAUUUCCCCAUGCUGUUCUCCUGAUAAUCUCACAGAAUCUGAUGGUUUUAUAAGAUUCUGGCAUUGCCCCUGCUCCCAGUCACUGUGUUCUGCCACCCUGUGACAAAGAUGCCUGCUUUUCCUUUGCCUUCCACCAUGAUUCUACGUUUCCUGAGGCCUCCCCAGCAAUGGGGAACUGUGAGUCAAACCUCGUUUCUUUAUAAAUUACCCAGUCUUGGGUAUUUCUUCACAGCAGCAUGAGAAGGGACUAAUACACUCAUCUGAGCCUUGAGUCAUUGAUAAAUGAGUUAGAGAAGAAAGGCGCAUAAACCAGUAGAAUUUAAUUCCUGUGCAAGUGAAAUUUCCUUGAAAAGAGAGUCAAAAUAUCAUGUCCAGAUGAAAGCUGGUACACUCUCUACCACUCUUCCUAUCAAGAUGUGAGGUUUAUUGUUCUUUCAAUUGAAUGUGGACUGGCUCUGUGACUUUUUCACCAAAGAAAAACCACAACUCACAAACUAAUCCAGUUUGCUAAUGCUACUGGCAACCUCUGAUCCAUCUUUCUCAGCAUGCAUGCUUUGGGAAAAGUCAGCUUCAAUGUGAAGGAUUGGAAUACACUAGACUACCAUGCUGUGAGGAAACCUAAGCUAGCCACAUGGAGAAGCCACAUGAAGGGGACACAUGGAGAGGGAGAGAAAGGGGGAGA